UGCAGUCGAACGAUGAUGCCCAGCUUGCUGGGCGGAUUAGUGGCGAACGGGUGAGUAAUACGUGAGUAACCUGCCCUUGACUCUGGGAUAAGCCUGGGAAACUGGGUCUAAUACUGGAUACUACUUCCUGCCGCAUGGUGGGUGGUGGAAAGGGUUUUACUGGUUUUGGAUGGGCUCACGGCCUAUCAGCUUGUUGGUGGGGUAAUGGCUCACCAAGGCGACGACGGGUAGCCGGCCUGAGAGGGUGACCGGCCACACUGGGACUGAGACACGGCCCAGACUCCUACGGGAGGCAGCAGUGGGGAAUAUUGCACAAUGGGCGGAAGCCUGAUGCAGCGACGCCGCGUGAGGGAUGACGGCCUUCGGGUUGUAAACCUCUUUCAGUAGGGAAGAAGCGAGAGUGACGGUACCUGCAGAAGAAGCGCCGGCUAACUACGUGCCAGCAGCCGCGGUAAUACGUAGGGCGCAAGCGUUGUCCGGAAUUAUUGGGCGUAAAGAGCUCGUAGGCGGUUUGUCGCGUCUGCUGUGAAAGCCCGGGGCUCAACCCCGGGUCUGCAGUGGGUACGGGCAGACUAGAGUGCAGUAGGGGAGACUGGAAUUCCUGGUGUAGCGGUGAAAUGCGCAGAUAUCAGGAGGAACACCGAUGGCGAAGGCAGGUCUCUGGGCUGUUACUGACGCUGAGGAGCGAAAGCAUGGGGAGCGAACAGGAUUAGAUACCCUGGUAGUCCAUGCCGUAAACGUUGGGCACUAGGUGUGGGGGACAUUCCACGUUUUCCGCGCCGUAGCUAACGCAUUAAGUGCCCCGCCUGGGGAGUACGGCCGCAAGGCUAAAACUCAAAGGAAUUGACGGGGGCCCGCACAAGCGGCGGAGCAUGCGGAUUAAUUCGAUGCAACGCGAAGAACCUUACCAAGGCUUGACAUUCACCGGACCGCCUCAGAGAUGGGGUUUCCCUUCGGGGCUGGUGGACAGGUGGUGCAUGGUUGUCGUCAGCUCGUGUCGUGAGAUGUUGGGUUAAGUCCCGCAACGAGCGCAACCCUCGUUCUAUGUUGCCAGCACGUGAUGGUGGGGACUCAUAGGAGACUGCCGGGGUCAACUCGGAGGAAGGUGGGGAUGACGUCAAAUCAUCAUGCCCCUUAUGUCUUGGGCUUCACGCAUGCUACAAUGGCCGGUACAAAGGGUUGCGAUACUGUGAGGUGGAGCUAAUCCCAAAAAGCCGGUCUCAGUUCGGAUUGAGGUCUGCAACUCGACCUCAUGAAGUCGGAGUCGCUAGUAAUCGCAGAUCAGCAACGCUGCGGUGAAUACGUUCCCGGGCCUUGUACACACCGCCCGUCAAGUCACGAAAGUUGGUAACACCCGAAGCCGGUGGCC
rnacentral:rRNA from 1 species